rnacentral:rRNA from 1 species
GACGAACGCUGGCGGCGUGCCUAAUACAUGCAAGUAGAACGCUGAAGGAGGAGCUUGCUUCUCCGGAUGAGUUGCGAACGGGUGAGUAACGCGUAGGUAACCUGCCUGGUAGCGGGGGAUAACUAUUGGAAACGAUAGCUAAUACCGCAUAACAGUAGAUGUUGCAUGACAUUUGCUUAAAAGGUGCAAUUGCAUCACUACCAGAUGGACCUGCGUUGUAUUAGCUAGUUGGUGAGGUAACGGCUCACCAAGGCGACGAUACAUAGCCGACCUGAGAGGGGGAUCGGCCACACUGGGACUGAGACACGGCCCAGACUCCUACGGGAGGAAGCAGUAGGGAAGCUUCGGCAAUGGACGGAAGUCUGACCGAGCAACGCCGCGUGAGUGAAGAAGGUUGUCGGAUCGUAAAGCUCUGUUGUAAGAGAAGAACGAGUGUGAGAGUGGAAAGUUCACACUGUGACGGUAUCUUACCAGAAAGGGACGGCUAACUACGUG